rnacentral:tRNA from 1 species
ACAGUGGUGGUUCAGUGGUAGAAUUACUGCCUCUCAUGUGGGAGACCUGGGUUUGAUUCCCAGCCAAUGUA